rnacentral:rRNA from 1 species
GUUGUAUGGUUAAGUGACUAAGCGUACACGGUGGAUGCCUUGGCAGUCAGAGGCGAUGAAAGACGUAGUAACUUGCGAUAAGCCCAGAUUAGGUAGUAACAACCAUUUGAGUCUGGGAUUUCUGAAUGGGGAAACCCACUUACAUAAGUAAGUAUCAUUAACUGAAUACAUAGGUUAAUGAGGCGAACCGGGGGAACUGAAACAUCUAAGUACCCCGAGGAAAAGAAAUCAACCGAGAUUCCGAAAGUAGCGGCGAGCGAAAUUGGACUAGCCCUUAAGCUUUACACGCGUUAGACGAACGGUCUGGAAAGUCCGACGAUACAGGGUGAUAGUCCCGUAGUUGACGACGUGUGUUCAGUGAAAUCGAGUAGGGCGGGACACGUGAUAUCCUGUCUGAAUAUGGGGGGACCAUCCUCCAAGGCUAAAUACUACUGACUGACCGAUAGUGAACCAGUACCGUGAGGGAAAGGCGAAAAGAACCCCUGUGAGGGGAGUGAAAUAGAACCUGAAACCGUGUACGUACAAGCAGUAGGAGCAGGCUUGUCCUGUGACUGCGUACCUUUUGUAUAAUGGGUCAGCGACUUAUAUUCAGUGGCAAGGUUAACCAUCUAGGGGAGCCGUAGGGAAACCGAGUCUUAACUGGGCGUUCAGUCUCUGGAUAUAGACCCGAAACCAGGUGAUCUAGCCAUGGGCAGGUUGAAGGUUGAGUAACAUCAACUGGAGGACCGAACCGACUAAUGUUGAAAAAUUAGCGGAUGACUUGUGGCUAGGGGUGAAAGGCCAAUCAAACCUGGAGAUAGCUGGUUCUCCCCGAAAGCUAUUUAGGUAGCGCCUCGGACGAAUACUACUGGGGGUAGAGCACUGUUAAGGCUAGGGGGUCAUCCCGACUUACCAACCCUUUGCAAACUCCGAAUACCAGUAAGUACUAUCCGGGAGACACACGGCGGGUGCUAACGUCCGUCGUGGAGAGGGAAACAACCCAGACCGCCAGCUAAGGUCCCAAAUUACUACUAAGUGGGAAACGAUGUGGGAAGGCUCAGACAGCCAGGAUGUUGGCUUAGAAGCAGCCAUCAUUUAAAGAAAGCGUAAUAGCUCACUGGUCGAGUCGGCCUGCGCGGAAGAUGUAACGGGGCUAAGUAGUAAACCGAAGCUGCGGCAAUAUACUUUUGUAUAUUGGGUAGGGGAGCGUUCUGUAAGCGGUUGAAGGUGUGUGGUAACGCAUGCUGGACGUAUCAGAAGUGCGAAUGCUGACAUGAGUAACGAUAAAGGGGGUGAAAAACCUCCUCGCCGGAAGACCAAGGGUUCCUGUCCAACGUUAAUCGGGGCAGGGUAAGUCGACCCCUAAGGCGAGGCCGAAAGGCGUAGUCGAUGGGAAACGGGUUAAUAUUCCCGUACUUCUUACAAUUGCGAUGGGGGGACGGAGAAGGCUAGGUGGGCCUGGCGACGGUUGUCCAGGUUCAAGUGCGUAGGCUUGAGAGUUAGGUAAAUCCGGCUCUUUUUAAGGCUGAGACACGACGUCGAGCACCUACGGGUGUGAAGUCAUUGAUGCCAUGCUUCCAGGAAAAGCCUCUAAGCUUCAGAUUGUAAGGAAUCGUACCCCAAACCGACACAGGUGGUCGGGUAGAGAAUACCAAGGCGCUUGAGAGAACUCGGGUGAAGGAACUAGGCAAAAUGGUACCGUAACUUCGGGAGAAGGUACGCUCUUGAUGGUGAAGUCCCUCGCGGAUGGAGCUGACGAGAGUCGCAGAUACCAGGUGGCUGCAACUGUUUAUUAAAAACACAGCACUGUGCAAAAUCGUAAGAUGACGUAUACGGUGUGACGCCUGCCCGGUGCCGGAAGGUUAAUUGAUGGGGUUAGACUUCGGUCGAAGCUCUUGAUCGAAGCCCCGGUAAACGGCGGCCGUAACUAUAACGGUCCUAAGGUAGCGAAAUUCCUUGUCGGGUAAGUUCCGACCUGCACGAAUGGCGUAAUGAUGGCCACGCUGUCUCCACCCGAGACUCAGUGAAAUUGAAAUCGCUGUGAAGAUGCAGUGUACCCGCGGCUAGACGGAAAGACCCCGUGAACCUUUACUACAGCUUGGCACUGAACAUUGACCCUACAUGUGUAGGAUAGGUGGGAGGCUUUGAAGCACGUACGCCAGUAUGUGUGGAGCCGUCCUUGAAAUACCACCCUUGUAGUGUUGAUGUUCUAACGUCGACCCCUUAUCGGGGUUGCGGACAGUGCCUGGUGGGUAGUUUGACUGGGGCGGUCUCCUCCCAAAGAGUAACGGAGGAGCACGAAGGUGGGCUAAUCACGGUUGGACAUCGUGAGGUUAGUGCAAUGGCAUAAGCCCGCUUGACUGCGAGAAUGACAAUUCGAGCAGGUGCGAAAGCAGGUCAUAGUGAUCCGGUGGUUCUGAAUGGAAGGGCCAUCGCUCAACGGAUAAAAGGUACUCCGGGGAUAACAGGCUGAUACCGCCCAAGAGUUCAUAUCGACGGCGGUGUUUGGCACCUCGAUGUCGGCUCAUCACAUCCUGGGGCUGAAGUCGGUCCCAAGGGUAUGGCUGUUCGCCAUUUAAAGUGGUACGCGAGCUGGGUUUAGAACGUCGUGAGACAGUUCGGUCCCUAUCUGCCGUGGGCGUUGGAAGAUUGAAGGGGGCUGCUCCUAGUACGAGAGGACCGGAGUGGACGAACCUCUGGUGUUCGGGUUGUGUCGCCAGACGCAUUGCCCGGUAGCUAAGUUCGGAAUCGAUAACCGCUGAAAGCAUCUAAGCGGGAAGCGAGCCCUGAGAUGAGUCUUCCCUGAUACUUUAAGUAUCCUAAAGGGUUGUCGGAGACUACGACGUUGAUAGGUCAGGUGUGUAAGUGCUGUGAGGCAUUGAGCUAACUGAUACUAAUUGCCCGUGAGGCUUAACCAUACAACACCCAAGGGGUUU